CAGUCGCACGGUCGCCGGCGAGCAAUACGGUUUAUGGCCGCGUGACACUGUCCCGGACAACAUCGGCAUCCGCAAACAGCUGGAUCCACGUUGGAUCUCGGCACCGGAUCGCAGCCCAGGGUCUCUACGUUCACGGGCCCGACGUCAACCGGAACGACACCGACUCCAGCCCAAGCUCAGUGCCCAGUUGCCUCGCGGAUUGUCCUCGCGAAAACACCGAAAACCGCGACCGACGUGUCUCUGGCGGUGGUACUGGUUUCUGGUAGCCGCGCUAACCAAUGGACAGUGUCUGCCAAUGGAUCCUAGUUGUCGGUUAACUCGCUGAAGCCAUCCGAACCUCGUGGAAACAGUGCACGCGCGAUCGCCUUUUGGAACGUCAUCAGUGAUUGUAGUUCCGAGGAACACAGUGUUGCUCCCAACGCGUGAGACAUUUCACCCGGCUCACCUGGAAUAAAGGAUUCGAAGCUGAACGAAGCUAAAGAAGACCUGCCAGCAGCGGUACGACAGUCGGUGAACGCGGAGGCCAGCGGAACGCAGGCACGCACGCACGCGUCCGGUGUCGAUCGCGAGUGAGAGUGUUUUUCCCGUGCGGAAGCCGCCGCGGCGACGACCCGGGCCCUCGCGGGACACCAACAUCUGGUAGCGUGUUUCCGGGCGGCGCGACCGACCGCGUGGACGUCCCGUUCUCCUCGCGCCGCGACCGAACCUCUCGCUUCUUCUUCUUCUCUUCUCUGCGCGUGUGGAUUCGCCUUCCGUGUGACUCGAACGUUCGGUGACCGGUCAAUUUCCUCUUUAUCAGGCUUUUCCGCGAGUCCCCGCGUUCUCGGCCGGGUUAGUUACCUAGCAGCUAGAUCACGCACCAGCGUUACCGUCCACACACUGACAAACACACGCUUCCACACACACAUACAUAUAUACGAACACAAACGUACACACGUGACGCAAGCGUGCACGGUACCGCGCGCAGACGCGAUACCAUCAGGAACGGACGGACCGGGUGUUUUUCGUUUGUUUUCUGUGACACUGUGCUACCGACCGUCGUGACCGACCACGGCGUGGACGUGGACGUAGAAAACGCUGUCGCGCGGCAUCCUCUUUUCUUUCUCUCUGUCCGUCCUUCUGUCUUUCUCUGGUUAAGAGGUGUUCAGUAUGCGGUGGAUACAAGCAUCGAGCAGCGUUUUGUGACCGAUCCUCGGGAUAUCGCGGUAGCCGGUUUACCAGCCGAGGGACGAGUCAGCUGUCGACCAAGGAUUACGCUCCUGCCGAGCUCCGCGGCAGACGUCCAUCUUCUAUUCGCUGAGGUGGAAGCUCUACGUUUUCUUAAAUGGAACUUCGUACUUCAUUCAUCAAUACUUGACAACAACCCCAAACAUGAACUGAAGGACUCGCGAUUCAUGGUGAUUCAAGAUUCCAAUUUCACGACGGCCAGCGAGGAUUGAUGAAGAAUGCGCGAGUCUCACUUGGUUUGAUUCGUUCGAGUA